AUUGGAUAUAAACAGUUCCCACCAAUGCAAAACCCUGCAAAAUUGCAACAGCAUCAGCAACUCAAGUCUCCCAAAACCAUGCAUCCCAAAUAUUUUUAGUUUAACCACAUAUUUGGACACUAAAAGUCAGAUCACUGAUUUAAAAAAGAUUAUUGAGAAUAUAAAGAUCGGUGACGAUGACAAUACUUAAAAAGAAAUGCAAGUUAAAAAGAACCAAGAAAGAAAGAAUCAAAACCCCCCUUAACAAGAAGUGUCUUCGAUGAAACUUCUUGCAAGACAUGCAACAGUAACAGUACUAAUCAACACCAUGCUCCUAUCAGAAUGUCUACCAGCGGAAAAAAAUAAGCAAGUUGGCAAAAUCUAAAUCGCUGAUGGGAGCUCGAUGCCCCCUCCACAGAUAUCAUGUCCACCAACCACCAUCAAUCUGAGAUGCCAAGUCUUGUCACCAAUUAACCCAUCAAACAUGCACAAAAUCAAUAAGUUACUUUAAAAGAAAAAGAAUCAAGAACACCAUCAAACAGAACCGCAAUAGUAAUAGAAAGUGAUACUUGACAUCUAUUAUUCCUAAUAAAACUUAAAAAAAUGCCAAUCAACAAAAAGACAAGAACCCCUCUUUAACACAUCUCCUGAUAUUCAGCAACUUAUAACCUUUUUAAAUCACGUAUUCAGUCUUCGAACCCACAAGACUGCAAUAAUAUCAGGAUUUAUAACCAACACUUACACUGAAUAGAAUGUCACCAAGAAAAAGAGCUCAUAAACACAAUCUAAAUCAUGAUCAACUCACAAUUACGCCCGUUAUAAAGAGCAUGCCAAUUAAACUUUCAUCAAUCUAGAAUAACAGGUCAACACACUGAUUAACAAAAUGCAUACAACAUGUCUAAGAUUCAUAAAUAUCAUGUCCACUAAACUCCAAACCCCAGAACAUAUCACUGAUUAACAGACUAAUAUGAGAAUACAAAAUUUACAAUGAAGAGAGAGAGAGGGGGGGUGCGGGGGAGCGGGGCAGGAGUUUCACCACCAGUGCAAGACCAUGAAAAGCUGUAACAGCAGAAAUGAUGAUUAACAUCCAUUCUGUGACAACCAAGAUUAAGGGGGAAAAAGAUUAUCAAUACAAUCAAUAAUACCACCAAAGGUGAGCAACUGCCUCUAUACAAAUUCUCUCUCCCAAACAAUGGCAAUCUAUCACCUUAAUUCCGAUGACAUUUUAGUUUCAAAUCUGAUCCUAAAUGACAAUUGAGACGAUAAAAGUCAGCAAAUGGAGACAACCAAACGUAUGGAAAACAAGAGAUAAAAAUAACCUCAGAUCCCCAACGAAAAAGUGCCUCCAAGAAACGUGCCUGCAACAGUGCAAUAAUAAUACAGAAAGCAACGAGCAUCCAUCCUAAACAAAAUGUUCAUACAAAAAAUGCUGAUUUACACAAUUAGAAUUGCUAUCAAAUGCAGAAAAACCAUAACUCAAACAACAAGGCCUUUACAGAAUUCAUGGGACCAUGCCCUAACGAAUAUCCCAACCAAUGUAGCCCGAGUAACUGCAACAAGAAGUAAUAAUUGACAUCUACCUCAUCAAGAGUAUGAAUAAAAUGACACUUCAUAUAUCAGAAUCACUAUCAAAGGCUUUACAAACCCCCUCUAUACAAGUCAUCUCUUUCGAACAACGAUAAUCCUGGUCUUUAAUUCCGAUCACUGAUUAACAACCGGGCCAAAGGUAUAUGGAGCCAACAGGCAAUAUUUAGAAGUGUUGAGUGAAAAUAGAACUAAGUUGGAAAGAGCCCCUUGAAUUAAAGAUCAUACCCUCCAAAUGUCAUCAACACAUCGUGCGAGACCUGACUGACACAAAAACCAGCUGACAGGAAAGGAUCACCAAAACAAUGACAGCAUUCCGCCAACCAAAUCUACCAAAAGUUUUUUUCCCUAAAAAAUAAAAAAGCUAGACCACCAUUCAACACAACACACAACUAAUGCAACCAUCUGAAAAACUGCAACAGCAAUAGAAAUGACAAUUAGCAUCUACCACGACAAGUGAAAACUAUGCAGAAAAAAAGAUAUCGAGAAAGCAAGAAUCAGCAAAUGGUGAUAGAGACCACCGAGGCCAAUUAGCAUCCCCUUGAGCCAAAUUAAAAAGAACAUUUCAGGACCCCCUUGAGCAAGAACUUUAUCCAAUAAAAACUUCAUCAAAGCUGCAACAACAACAAGGUGUUGAUCAACAUUUAUCCAUGGUAGAACAUCCAUGAGAGAAAGGAAGGUUAGUCAAUGCAAACCUAAUUCAUUA
rnacentral:lncRNA from 1 species